rnacentral:rRNA from 1 species
AGCAGCCGCGGUAAUUCCAGCUCCAAUAGCGUAUAUUAAAGUUGUUGCAGUUAAAAAGCUCGUAGUUGAAUUUCGGGAUCAAUAUUUCGGUCAUGCCGUUGGUAUGCACUGUUAUCAUUGAUUUCUCACCUUCUAAAGAACCGUAAUGCCAUUAAUUUGGUGUUACGGGGAAUUAGGACUGUUACCUUGAAAAAAUUAGAGUGUUUAAAGCAGGCUCACGCUUGAAUACAUUAGCAUGGAAUAGUGAAAUAGGACGUUUGACCCUAUUUUGUUGGUUUCUAGGAUCGACGUAAUGAUUAAUAGGGAUAGUUGGGGGCAUUAGUAUUCAAUUGUCAGAGGUGAAAUUCUUGGAUUUAUUGAAGACUAACUACUGCGAAAGCAUUUGCCAAGGAUGUUUUCAUUAAUCAAGAACGAAAGUUAGGGGAUCGAAGACGAUCAGAUACCGUCGUAGUCUUAACCAUAAACUAUGCCGACUAGGGAUCGGAUGAUGUUAAUUUUUUAAUGACUCA